AGUAAGGGCGACUGAAAGGGGAUGAGCCCAGCGCAUAACCUCGCGGUCCUGUUGUGGCCGUCGAGGGGUGUUGCGUUUCGGUGGAUCCGUACCGCUCGAGUUGCUGACCGCCUAAGUCAUUGCUUGAAUGCAGCCCCGAGGAGGGUGGUAGGCCCGUGUGGCGGCGCCUGUAAAAAGGUUCGAAGCAACUUGGGCGGAGGGGUCUUUACCGUAGAGUCGGGUUGCUUAGUACUGCAGCCCUAAGUAGGUGGUAAACUCCAUCUAAGGCUAAAUACUACCACGAGUCCGAUAUUUGACAAGUACCGUGAGGGAAAGCUGAAAAGGACUCUGAAGAGAGAGUUCAAGAGGACGUGAAACCAUUAGAAGCUGAAACGGGUGGAACCGUGAAGGUGGAAAGAGGGGAUUCAGGCUGUGGGCGUGCGCGCGCUUGGAAGGUGCAGUCUGUGAGAGGACCCGGCGUUAGAGUGAGUUGCCGCGGCCCCUUCCAGGCGGUGCGUGCGUCGGCGGGCUUAGUUCUCCCUCGAGUACUAGUCGUGGCGACCCGCUGGUCGGACCCCGAGGGCCCCUUUGGACUGGUAGCCUACACCUUUGGUGGAGGUGAUGACCGAACGGGGUACUGGCUGGGUUUGGCCGGCGGUCACUGCAAGGAGGCAGCCUGCCCGUUUACGGGUGGGGCUGCCUCUCGCCAUGUGAGAGGGAUCGGUAAUCCACCCGACCCGUCUUGAAACACGGACCAAGGAGUCCAACAUGUGCGCGAGUCUAAGGGUGGUCUAAACCCGGAGGCGAAAUGAAAGUGAGCUCCUUUGGGGCAGGCCGAUCCCCUGUCAGGGCUGGACCGUUGGUGGCCUGUGGUGAGAGAAUUUCCGACAGGUUUAACUGAUGGUUUUGGCUUUGGCGGCCCCGUCGUCUUUGGCGGCGGGGAGUCGGGGCGCAGGCCGAGGACUUGCCGUUGUGCGGCGCGGGCAACGGGUUGCCUGUGGCUUCCUUAUCCCGAUGUCCGCCGGCAAGUACCUGAGAGCGCAGCCGUUGGGACCCGAAAGAUGGUGAACUAUGCCUGGCGAGGACGAAGCCAGAGGAAACUCUGGUGGAGGUCCGAAGCAGUUCUGACGUGCAAAUCGAUUGUCAGAGCUGGGUAUAGGGGCGAAAGACUAAUCGAACCAUCUAGUAGCUGGUUCCCUCCGAAGUUUCCCUCAGGAUAGCUGGCGUUGGAUCGAAUGAGUUUCAUCCGGUAAAGCGAAUGAUUAGAGGCCUUGGUGGUGCAAUGCCGUCAACCUAUUCUCAAACUUUAAAUGGGUGAGACGUGGAGCUUGCUUGAAACGUGAAGCUCUAUGAUGAGAGAAUCAGAAUGCCUAGUGGGCCACUUUUGGUAAGCAGAACUGGCGCUGUGGGAUGAACCAAACGCACGAGUUAAGGGGCCUAAACGAAUGCUAAUGUAGACACUACGAAAAGGUGUUGGUUGCUAUAGACAGCAGGGCGGUGGCCAUGGAAGUUGGAAUCCGCUAAGGAGUGUGUAACAACUCACCUGCCGAAGCAACUAGCCCUUAAAAUGGUAUGGCGCUGAAGCAUUCUCCCGAUACUCGGCCGCCGGGGCAUUGUUUUGGUUGAGAGAGGCCAUGGAAGCCCCGGCGAGUAGGAGGGUCGCAGCGGUGAGCGUCGAAGGGACUGGGCGUGAGCCGGCCUGGAGCCGCCGCUGGUGCAGAUCUUGGUGGUAGUAGCAAAUAAUCAAGAGAGAGCCUCGUUGGCUGAUGUGGAGAAGGGUUCCAUGUCAACAUCAGUUGAACAUGGGUGAGUCAGGCCUAAGCCCAAGGAUAAAUUUCCUGUGUCCCACGUGUUCCCAGGCCUCCAAAAGGACGGUCUAGAAGCGAGGCAGGCAGCCAGAGAGAGAGAGAAAGUGUGGCUGCCGCUGGCCUUUUGCUCCAGAGAGAAGAAAGAGCAUUGUGAUUGGCGGCGGCCGUANAGACUGCCUUGCCUCGUUUUCUUGCAAGAGAGAUUUGUGCGUGCGUGCUUAGAGAGAGAGAAGAGGCCGCCACGCUCCUGCCCACCUGGG
rnacentral:rRNA from 1 species